UACGUAGGGGGCAAGCGUUGUCCGGAAUCAUUGGGCGUAAAGAGCGUGUAGGCGGCCAGAUAAGUCCGCUGUGAAAUCUCGAGGCUCAACUUCGAGCUGUCGGUGGAAACUGUCUGGCUAGAGUCCGGAAGAGGAGAAUGGAAUUCCUGGUGUAGCGGUGAAAUGCGCAGAUAUCGGGAAGAACACCCGUGGCGAAGGCGGCUCUCUGGGACGGUACUGACGCUGAGACGCGAAAGCGUGGGGAGCGAACAGG
rnacentral:rRNA from 1 species